UGGGGCGUGGCCAAGCGGCAAGGCACCGGGUUUUGGUCCCGGGAUCGCAGGUUCGAAUCCUGCCGCCCCAGCCG
rnacentral:tRNA from 1 species